CUACUAUGGCUGCUUACUUUCUCAUGAACGCCUUUCUGUAUCUUUACUGCCUGAGUGCAUGAGAAACUUUUUGUCUGCAGUUCCCAUAGAGGUAAUAGAGGCUGAUGGCUUUCAGUACAUCCAAAGCUCAACUCCUCAACUCCUAGACCUGGGCUUGAAGUCACGUAAAACCCCUACAGAGGUCAGCAAGUUUUAACAAAGUUCCUCUAGCAAAAGCAGUGAUGAAAGCAUCUCAGAGGCUCUUGCUGCAGCUGGGAGCACGCAGUACCUGAAAUUCCAGCCAUUUUCUCAGGGAUGUUGUUGCAACCAUGGAGAGAAAUUGGUGCAGGCUAUGCAUAAUUUCCAGAGAGGGCAAUUUCAGACUAAUCAAAGAAGAGUCCUUCCUGGAAAUUCCAUAUGCUUCAGGACUCUGCUUUCCUGAAGGUUAGAAGACUCCUUGCUAAUACAAAGAGAUGAAGGUGGAGAACCUACCCAAGAACGCUGAGCUAAAGACCCAUCUUCUGCAAUCAUGUGGUACUCCAGUGUACUCAUGUUGUCACAGAAAACUUGAAGGCAGCAAAGCUUCAGUAUCCCAUACAUAUAACAGAAGCAUUUAUGCUUAUGUCCACUUUUUGUCUGUAUUGAGUAAGAAGAUGCGAUUUGGUCUCCAGCUUGCCAAAGCCAUUAGCUGCUCGUGUAAUUUUGGGGGGUUCUCAGUUGUCAAAGCAGUUUUAGUCUUUACAGAGGAUUCCUUAAGAAGACUGCUCUGCUUGAAGUUCUUCACUGGUUUGAAGUGCUACAAUGGGCUGGUGGAUUUGCAGACAGAUUUUGGGCAAGAUAUAAAUUGGUAAGAAAAGGCACUCUGGCACUCUAUAAAUUGGCACUCUAUAAAUUGGUAAGAAAAGGUGGGACUCUGCACAGUGAAUGUUGUCACGAUCACUAUUGUGGGCUGCAUCUCUACAGGCUUUUCUGCAGGAAUGCACUAGUAUUUUUGGCUGUGCCUGGAAAACAUAAACAAGUAUUUCUUCUCCUAAGGAUUGUGUUUAGCAGCAGACAUUUGAUUUUCUACAGAAUAACUGGACAGGUAAAUUAUUAAUUAUAGUCCCUAUAGUUAGCAAUCAGAUUUUGUUAAGUGUUUAACUCCUAAUAUCAAAAUCAGAGUAUUG
rnacentral:lncRNA from 1 species